GACCUGAUGGAGUGCUUGCACUCUGAUGGUUAGCGGCGGACGGGUGAGUAACACGUAGGCAACCUGCCCGUAAGACCGGGAUAACUACCGGAAACGGUAGCUAAUACCGGAUAAUCAAGUCUUCCGCAUGGGAGACUUGGGAAAGGCGGAGCAAUCUGUCACUUACGGAUGGGCCUGCGGCGCAUUAGCUAGUUGGUGGGGUAACGGCUCACCAAGGCGACGAUGCGUAGCCGACCUGAGAGGGUGAACGGCCACACUGGGACUGAGACACGGCCCAG
rnacentral:rRNA from 1 species